rnacentral:rRNA from 1 species
AUACGGAGGGGGCUAGCGUUGUUCGGAAUUACUGGGCGUAAAGCGUACGUAGGCGGACUGAUCAGUUGGGGGUGAAAUCCCAGGGCUUAACCCUGGAACUGCCUUCAAUACUGUCAGUCUUGAGCUUGGAAGAGGUGAGUGGAAUUCCUAGUGUAGAGGUGAAAUUCAUAGAUAUUAGGAGGAACACCAGUGGCGAAGGCGGCUCACUGGUCCAAUACUGACGCUGAGGUACGAAAGCGUGGGGAGCAAACAGGAUUAGAAACCCCUGUAGUCC